rnacentral:rRNA from 1 species
AAGGAAUUUUCCGCAAUGGGGGCAACCCUGACGGAGCAACGCCGCGUGCGGGAUGACGCCUUUCGGGGUGUAAACCGCUUUUCUGGGGGACGAUGGAGGACGGUACCCCAGGAAGAAGGCCCGGCUAACUACGUGCCAGCAGCCGCGGUAAUACGUAGGGGCCGAGCGUUGUCCGGAGUUAUUGGGCGUAAAGCGCGCGCAGGCGGCGGUGUCAGCCCGACGUGAAAGCCCCCGGCUUAACCGGGGAGGGUCGUGGGGGACGGCACCGCUUGAGGGCGGGAGAGGGCGGUGGAAUUCCCGGUGUAGUGGUGAAAUGCGUAGAGAUCGGGAGGAACACCUGUGGCGAAGGCGGCCGCCUGGGCCGACCCUGACGCUGAGGCGCGAAGGCGUGGGGAGCGAA